AAACUUUGGUUCCCAUAGCUUUAAAAUGCGGAGGAUCCAAAAAUGGGGUGAAGCAUUACUAUAAGUAGUGCAGGUUACACCUUUUCCUAACCCGUCAGCUAACUUCGCAGGCAAAGGAGGAUUU
rnacentral:sRNA from 1 species